UACGUAGGGUGCAAGCGUUGUCCGGAAUUAUUGGGCGUAAAGGGCUCGUAGGCGGUCCAUCACGUCGGGAGUGAAAAGCUGGGGCUUAACCCCAGUCCUGCUUCCGAUACGGGUGGACUAGAGGUAGGUAGGGGAGAACGGAAUUCCUGGUGUAGCGGUGAAAUGCGCAGAUAUCGGGAGGAACACCGGUGGCGAAGGCGGUUCUCUGGGCCUGUACUGACGCUGAGGAGCGAAAGCGUGGGGAGCGAACAGG
rnacentral:rRNA from 1 species